UGAGCAAUCUGCCCUUCACAUCGGAAUAACCAUUGGAAACGAUGGCUAGUACCGAAUAUGACUUCGGAUCGCAUGAUCUGAGGUGGAAAGCUCCGGCGGUGAAGGAUGAGCUCGCGGCCUAUCAGCUUGUUGGUGAGGUAAUAGCUCACCAAGGCGAUGACGGGUAGCCGGCUGAGAGGGUGACCGGCCACACGUGGGACUGAGACACGGCA
rnacentral:rRNA from 1 species